rnacentral:lncRNA from 1 species
UUAAAUUUUUUAUUAUCUUUCGAAAGCGGUUUUAGAAGUAAGGCCAAAUAUAUAUAUAUAGAGAGAAGGACUGCUGUGCACGGAGGCCUCUGUGCUCUUGAGCUGUUUUCGAUGAUGAAAUUUUCGAAUCAACAAUCGUCUCCAUUAGAUUUUGCGAUUUUUUGAUAUCAUAUAUCUAGCAAUCGAAAGGAUUCAAAAUCAAUAAUUUUUAACGGCUGAAAAUAAAAAUUCUAUAAAAAAUGGUGAUAUAGUACUAAAAUUUUCGAUCAGAAAUAUUGAUCUUAUUGUAGAUAGUAUAAAGAAUUUUGUAUCAAAAUUUCAUCUGAUUUGAAUACUUCUACACCGUUAAACUUGAAAACGGCAGAUAUCGACCAUUAAAAAUUAUUGAUUUUGUAUCCUUUCGAUCACUAGAUAAAUAAUAUAAAAAAAUCGCAAAAAAUAUUUUCUAAAAACUUC